GGGGCAGUAGUCCAAAGGCAGAGACAAUGGACUUAAAAUCCAUACAGUGCGGGUUCGACUCCCGCCUGCCCUA
rnacentral:tRNA from 1 species